CCCAAACCCAAUGGGGAACGUUACCCAAUCGUGUUUCGGGGGGGCCCCCCAGGGGCGCCGCCGGAGGCCAUCGAAACUCUUAUUGUAUCUUGCAGGGGCAUCUGUCUGAGUAGUUAGCCUUCGGGCGAAAAAAUGAAUCAAAACUUUCAACAACGGAUCUCUUGGUUCUGGCAUCGAUGAAGAACGCAGCGAAAUGCGAUAAGUAAUGUGAAUUGCAGAAUUCAGUGAAUCAUCGAAUCUUUGAACGCACAUUGCGCCCGCCAGUAUUCUGGCGGGCAUGCCUGUUCGAGCGUCAUUUCAACCCUCAAGCCCGGCUUGGUGUUGGGGACCGGACCGCACGCCCGUGCGGCUCCGCCCCCGAAAUUCAGUGGCGGUCCCGCCGCAGCCUCCUCUGCGCAGUAGCUCUAACGAACCUCGCACCGGAGAGCGGCAGGCCCACGCCGUAAAACCCCCCAACUUUCUGAAUUGUUGACCUCGGAUCAGGUAGGAAUACCCGCUGAACUUAAGCAUAUCAAUAAGCGGAGGAAAAGAAACCAACAGGGAUUGCCCCAGUAACGGCGAGUGAAGCGGCAACAGCUCAAAUUUGAAAUCUGGCUCACGGCCCGAGUUGUAAUUUGCAGAGGAUGCUUUGGGUGAGGCGCCGCCUGAGUUCCCUGGAAACGGGACCACAGAGGGUGAGAGCCCCGUCUGGCUGGACGCGACCUGUGUAAAGCUCCUUCGACGAGUCGAGUAGUUUGGGGAAUGCUGCUCAAAAUGGGAGGUAUAUGUCUUCUAAAGCUAAAUAUU
rnacentral:rRNA from 1 species